rnacentral:misc_RNA from 1 species
UGGUUCUGGCAUCGAUGAAGAACGCAGCGAAAUGCGAUAAGUAAUGUGAAUUGCAGAAUUCAGUGAAUCAUCGAAUCUUUGAACGCACAUUGCGCCCUCUGGUAUUCCGGGGGGCAUGCCCAUUUGAGCGUCAUUACAACCCUCAAGCCUCGCUUGGUAUUGGAGGUCUUAGCAGUCCCUUCAUUAAUUUGAAGUCUGCUCCUCUUGAAAACAAAUCCGGCCGAGUAUAUCAAUCUCUUCCCUGGCGUUGUGAUAUUCAUAAAUCGCUUGUUGGAAUUGGAUAAACUUUUGUUUGCCGUAAAGCCUUCAAUUUAUCAAGGUUGACCUCAAAUUGGGUAGGAAUACCCGCUGA